rnacentral:rRNA from 1 species
AGCUCCAAUAGCGUAUAUUAAUGUUGUUGCAGUUAAAAAGCUCGUAGUUGAAUUCAAAUCAUGUCAGCUUGGUUCGAGUUCACACUCGACACUAGGCUGGUGUGUUUUUGAAUUAGCCGAGUCUCAUUAUUGAUGCCUUUAACCGGGUGUCUUUAGUGGCCGGCAUGUUUACUUUGAGAAAAUUAGAGUGCUCAAAGCAGGCGCAAGUCUGCAUACUUAUGCAUGGAAUAAUGAAAUAGGACUUCGGUUCUAUUUUGUUGGUUUUCGGAAUUGAAGUAAUGAUUAAAAGGGACAGACGGGGCCGUACGUAUGCCCGGGGGAGAGGUGAAAUUCAGAGAUCCUGGGCAGACGACCUACUGCGAAAGCAUUCGGCAAGAAUGUUUUCAUUAAUCAAGAACGA